GAGUUUGAUCCUGGCUCAGAACGAACGCUGGCGGCGUGCCUGAGACAUGCAAGUCGUGGGAGAAUGUCGUAGCAAUACGAUUAGUAAACCGGCGUACGGGUGAGUAACACGUGGAUAACGUGCCUUGAAGCCCGGGAUAACCCGUCGAAAGACGGACUAAUACCGGAUAAGACCACGGGAAGUUCGCUUCUUGGGGUAAAAGGUGGCCUCUGCUCCUGCAAGCUAUCACUUCUAGAGCGGUCCGCGGCCUAUCAGCUAGUUGGCGAGGUAAUGGCUCACCAAGGCGAAGACGGGUAGCUGGUCUAAGAGGAUGGUCAGCCACACUGGGACUGAGACACGGCCCAGAGUCCUACGGGAUGCAGCAGUCAGGAAUAUUGCGCAAUGGAGGAAACUCUGACGCAGCGACGCCGCGUGGGUGAUGAAGGCCUUCGGGUCGUAAAGCCCUGUCGGAAGGGAAGAAAAGCUUGUUGGCUAAUAUCCAGCGAGCCUUUGACGGUACCUUCAAAGGAAGCACCGGCUAACUCCGUGCCAGCAGCCGCGGUAAGACGGAGGGUGCAAGCGUUGUUCGGAUUGACUGGGCGUAAAGGGCGUGUAGGCGGUUCGUUAAGUCGGGUGUG
rnacentral:rRNA from 1 species